ACUCAAAUGAAUUGACGGGGGCCCGCACAAGCAGCGGAGCGUGUGGUUUAAUUCGAUGCAACGCGCAGAACCUUACCUGGGCUUGACAUGGCAGUGCCAGCCGUGGAAACACGGCCCUCCUUCGGGACGCUGUCACAGAUGUUGCAUGGCUGUCGUCAGCUCGUGUCGUGAGAUGUUGGGUUAAGUCCCGCAACGAGCGCAACCCUCGUGGUCAGUUGCAAAGCUCUGACCAGACUGCCUACUAAAUAGGAGGAAGGUGGGGAUGAAGUCAAGUCCGCAUGGCUCUUACGCCCAGGGCUACACACACGCUACAAUGGCCGGUACAGAGCGCCGCCAGAGGGCGACCUCGAGCCAAUCGCCAAAACCGGUCUCAGUUCGGAUUGCAGGCUGCAACCCGCCUGCAUGAAGUCGGAGUUGCUAGUAACCGCAAGUCAGCACAUUGCGGUGAAUAUGUUCCCGGGCCUUGUACACACCGCCCGU
rnacentral:rRNA from 1 species